rnacentral:rRNA from 1 species
CAGGCAUGGGGGGAACCCUGAUCCGCCUGCCGCGUGUGUGAAGAAGGCCUUUUGGUUGUAAAGCACUUUAAGCGAGGAGGAGGCUACUCUAGUUAAUACCUAGAGAUAGUGGACGUUACUCGCAGAAUAAGCACCGGCUAACUCUGUGCCAGCAGCCGCGGUAAUACAGAGGGUGCGAGCGUUAAUCGGAUUUACUGGGCGUAAAGCGUGCGUAGGUGGCCAAUUAAGUCAAAUGUGAAAUCCCCGAGCUUAACUUGGGAAUUGCAUUCGAUACUGGUUGGCUAGAGUAUGGGAGAGGAUGGUAGAAUUCCAGGUGUAGCGGUGAAAUGCGUAGAGAUCUGGAGGAAUACCGAUGGCGAAGGCAGCCAUCUGGCCUAAUACUGACACUGAGGUACGAAAGCAUGGGGAG